rnacentral:lncRNA from 1 species
ACUUCCAAGAUGGCGUCUUCACUCACAUAUCUGGAACCUCGGUGCUCCUUGUCCUUCACGCUCCAUUUGGUGCCUUAUUUUCCAGGCCCUCUUCCCUCAGGUAGCCUGGGCUUUCUCACAGCAUGGUGGCAUCAGGGUUGUAGGAUUUCUUACAAGGCACUGACUUGUAGAAAGUUUUCAGGAGCUCCGAAUGAGGAGAUUCAAGGGCUCUGACGACCAACCGUCGGCUGUCCCAGUACGUCACUUCUUCCACAUUCUAAUGGUCAGAGUAGUCACUAAGGCCAGUCCAGGUUCGCGGAAGGAAAAUUAGAUUCCACGUCUCUAUGGGAGGACUAGCCACACUAAGCCACUGCGCUGGUUUAGAACUGUCUGAAGUCCCUCCUAGAGGUCGUGUGUUUGAUUCUGCAUCUCCGUGAUUUGUGAAUCUUGCAUCAUUUAAAUUCAGCCUUACACACUGAUGCCUUUGGUGCCGUCCCAAUAUUUAGGUAGCAAACUCGUAGUGGGUAGAGAUUCAGGCUUAAGCUUCCAGCCUGGCUCUGAGGAGAACUGUCUGGGGCUCCCUGCCCUCUUCCCCAUGGAUGAGACUCUUCCCAGCCUUGGGCAAACACAGCGGGGAGCUGGCACCAUCUCCCGCUAGACACCUCCUCCUUUUCCUCUUGCCCUUACCAUGACUCCCGAGUUAUUCUCAGAAGUAAAAGCUUUCCACGCCUGCUCUUCUCUCCUGCAGCCAGGAGUGCAAAUUUAGAUAUUGGAGCUGCUCAGGCAGAAAAAUGGCCCUGGAAUCAGGGAAGCAGAAACCUGCAGCUGCCACGAAAGGACCGCGGAGAUGAAGACCCGGAAGCUUGCAUGUGUUGAAGCCCGGGGUGUGGGGGACUGUGGUCACGUACUCGAGGGGGCUUCAGAGACCUCUGGGAAGCCCUUUCUGCCCACUCGAAGCCUGCCCCUGUGCCUGACAAUCUUCCAUCGGGAGCGAUGUCAUAAAGAAGAAAUGGAAUUCAGUGGGAAGAGUGGUGGACUCGGGGACAAAAGAUCUGGGUUUGCGCCCUGGCUCUGACCUAACUCACCAGCAUUAUUGGAGGCACGUUAGUCUUCUCAGGUCAAAGCUUCCAUCUCUCCCUGUUUCAUGAACUUAACUUCUGAGGAGUACUGGUCAGGUGUUCUGUAGGAUGUCCACCUGCUGUUGGUCUGAUGCUUUUCACAUGAGGAUUCUGGGGUGAUGCUUCCCAAGAAGAAGACCUGAGGUGAAGCAUCUUUCUCGUCUCCCAGCCUCCUGCCUCCCAAAUGGUAUUGACCUUGAUCACUCAGCUAAGGUGGCAGCUGCCAGAUUGCUCCAUUGUAGAGCUAUAAUUUUCAUCCUUUUCUUAUUUUUAGGGAGGUGGGGAGGAGAGAAAAGGAAUAUUAAGCUCCACCUCCUGGAUGGGGUUGUAUUGACUUAUGUUAUUUGGGUUUCUUCUGUAAGGAAGAUUUGUCUCUUUCCCCCCUUAAUUCCUUUGGUAAAAAUAAUUUCUCAACAUCUGCUAAAUAGCUUUCUCCAAGAUGGAUGAAGACAUGCUCCAUCAAUUGGUACUUGCCUCAAAGUCGAGUUUUAUUCAAGUUAAACUGAAGUCACUGCAAAUUCAAGCAAGAUCCCAAUAUCGACUAAGUUCCUUCUCAGAAGUCCUCCCCCAGGGUCAGGCAGAGGGGGAACUGGGUGGUGUUUCAGAUGUGGCUUUUCAAGCUGUGGCCAGAUUGGCAGCAUCAGCAUCACCUGACUCAGCCCGCCUGCACCCAGGUGAAAUAAA